CCCCCCCCCCCUUUAGAGCAAUUCAAACGAGGUACAGCCCAUUUGAUACAGGAUACAACCUUUACUACCGGGUAAUAUUCAACUAACAUCGUUAAGUGGGCCUAACAGCAGCCAUCUUUCAAAAAGCGUCAAAGCUUAACCACACCAUCUUAAUCUGAAAACCCACAUUGACCCCUUUAACUAUAUUGAGAGCUUCUAUAGCCAUAUAGAACCCCUAAUGCUAAAACUAGUAACAAGAGUAAACCUCUCUCCUAAAUGCAAGUAUAAGCCAGCUAGAACCCAGCACUGGCACUUAAUCGACCCCAAGUAGUAACCCCCCCCACUAGAAAACCCUGCUUUUCCCAAUCGUUAACCUAGUACCAAAGCAUUCCAAGAAAGAUUAAAAGAGAAAAAAGGAACUCGGCAAACUUCAACCCCGCCUGUUUACCAAAAACAUCGCCUCUUGACCCCAUAAGAGGUCCAGCCUGCCCAGUGACUCUGUUCAACGGCCGCGGUAUUCUGACCGUGCAAAGGUAGCGUAAUCACUUGUCUUAUAAAUGAAGACUAGUAUGAAAGGCACCACGAGGGCUAAACUGUCUCCUCUCUCUAAUCAGUAAACCUAAUCUCCCCGUGAAGAAGCGGGGAUCAAAAUAUAAGACGAGAAGACCCUAUGGAGCUUAAAACAUCAUACACUUGCCACCAACUCUUUUAAACACUCAGGUCUUUCCCCCCCCCCGGCAUCCUGAUUGCAUGUUUUUGGUUGAGGUGACCGCGGAGAAAAACUCAUCCUCCACAGUGAAAGGGGUCCUCCCUCAAACAACAAGUUACAACUUUAUGUAUCAAUAAACUGACACCACUGACCCAAUAAAUUGAUCAAUGAACCAAGUUACCCUAGGGAUAACAGCACAAUCCACUUUGAGAGACCCUAUCGACAAGUGGGCUUAUGACCUCGAUGUUGGAUCGGGAUACCCAGGUGG
rnacentral:rRNA from 1 species